rnacentral:rRNA from 1 species
GUCCACGCCGUAAACGAUGAUAACUAGCUGUCCGGGUACUUGGUAUUUGGGUGGCGCAGCUAACGCAUUAAGUUAUCCGCCUGGGGAGUACGGUCGCAAGAUUAAAACUCAAAGGAAUUGACGGGGGCCUGCACAAGCGGUGGAGCAUGUGGUUUAAUUCGAAGCAACGCGCAGAACCUUACCAGCGUUUGACAUCCUCAUCGCGGAUUAGAGAGAUCUUUUCCUUCAGUUCGGCUGGAUGAGUGACAGGUGCUGCAUGGCUGUCGU